rnacentral:lncRNA from 1 species
GCUUCACACACUUCUCCUCUCGAUAAUAUUCAUAGGGCAAGAAGCAGAAUUUGAUUUUGUAGAGGCGAUGGCUGUUCUCCUUGUUCUUUAAGUGCAGGGAUUCCUCCAACUCAACUUUCUGCAAGACCUCAGCUAAGCACACUCUUGUGAGCUGUUUCUUGAGCUGUUUCACCUUCUUGUGAGCUUUCUUGGUACCGAGCACAGGAACACUCAUCAUUGGUGUUUUAAUAUUUGCACUGGCUACCAUCAA